rnacentral:lncRNA from 1 species
GCCGAAAGGUCUGGUCGCAGAGACAGGAACGUGUAAUCCUCAGCGUGCUCCAGCCCACAGCUUCGCUCUACUGCUCGGCAGGGCAGCUGGCCUCUGGGCACCGGCGGCCCCUCUGCCUCGCGGAAAAGCCUGAUGAAGUCCUCCGAUAUUGAUCAGGAUUUAUUCACAGACAGUUACUGCAAGGUGUGCAGUGCACAGCUGAUCUCCGAAUCGCAGCGUGUGGCCCACUACGAGUGUGGUGCAGUUCCUCUGGGAAUGAGCAAUGUAACUUAAAACUAGCUGUGUCAAUAAGUCAAGAGUCGAAAACAUGCAAGCAAAGUCCGACUGUAUUACAUGCUUCACCCCAGGGAUGGAGGGUGUCCUGCCAAGAGGCUCCGGUCAGAAAAUGGAAGUGAUGCCGACAUGGUGGAUAAGAACAAGUGCUGCACACUCUGCAACAUGUCAUUCACUUCAGCGGUGGUGGCCGAUUCCCAUUAUCAAGGCAAAAUCCACGCCAAGAGGUUAAAACUCUUGCU